rnacentral:rRNA from 1 species
CAGCAGCCGCGGGAAUACGGACCGUGCGAACGUUAUUCGGAAUUACUGGGCUUAAAGCGCGUGUAGGCGGGCCGCCACGUCGGUUGCUGAAAUCCCCCGGCUCAACCGGGGAAGUGGCAUCGAUACGAGCGGCCUUGAGGGGGGUAGGGGGAUCUGGAACUUCCGGUGGAGCGGUGAAAUGCGUUGAGAUCGGAAGGAACGCCCGUGGCGAAAGCGAGGUCCUGGACCCUUUCUGACGCUGAGACGCGAAAGCCAGGGGAGCGAACGGGAUUAGAUACCCGUGUAGUCCCUGUCUCUUAUA